rnacentral:misc_RNA from 1 species
GAUGAAGAACGUAGCGAAAUGCGAUAAGUAAUGUGAAUUGCAGAAUUCAGUGAAUCAUCGAAUCUUUGAACGCACAUUGCGCCCACUAGUAUUCUGGUGGGCAUGCCUGUUCGAGCGUCAUUACAACCCUCAGGCCCCCGGGCCUGGCGUUGGGGAUCGGCGGAAGCCCCCUGCGGGCACAACGCCGUCCCCCAAAUACAGUGGCGGUCCCGCCGCAGCUUCCAUUGCGUAGUAGCUAACACCUCGCAACUGGAGAGCGGCGCGGCCACGCCGUAAAACACCCAACUUCUGAAUGUUGACCUCGAAUCAGGUAGGAAUACCCGCUGAACUUAAGCAUAUCAGUAAGCGGAGGA